rnacentral:snRNA from 1 species
GUGCUCACUUCAGUUGCACAUAUACUAAAAUUGAAAUGAUACAGAGAAGAUUAGGAUGGCCUCUGCACAAGGAUGACACACAAAUUUGCAAAAAGUUCCAUAUUUUU